UGUACAAGUCUCCCCCGGGAUGUUAAAACCCUUUGUUGUCCGACUCUGUUGCCUCCGGGGCGACCCUGCCUUCGGGCGGGGGCUCCGGGUGGACACUUCAAACUCUUGCGUAACUUUGCAGUCUGAGUAAACUUAAUUAAUAAAUUAAAACUUUUAACAACGGAUCUCUUGGUUCUGGCAUCGAUGAAGAACGCAGCGAAAUGCGAUAAGUAAUGUGAAUUGCAGAAUUCAGUGAAUCAUCGAAUCUUUGAACGCACAUUGCGCCCCCUGGUAUUCCGGGGGGCAUGCCUGUUCGAGCGUCAUUUCACCACUCAAGCCUCGCUUGGUAUUGGGCAACGCGGUCCGCCGCGUGCCUCAAAUCGACCGGCUGGGUCUUCUGUCCCCUAAGCGUUGUGGAAACUAUUCGCUAAAGGGUGCUCGGGAGGCUACGCCGUAAAACAAACCCAUUUCUAAGGUUGACCUCGGAUCAGGUAGGGAUACCCGCUGAACUUAAGCAUAUCAAUAAGCGGAGGAA
rnacentral:rRNA from 1 species